rnacentral:rRNA from 1 species
AGAGACAGCAGCCGCCGCGGUAAUACAGAGGGUGCGAGCGUUAAUCGGAUUUACUGGGCGUAAAGCGUGCGUAGGCGGCUUCUUAAGUCGGAUGUGAAAUCCCUGAGCUUAACUCAGGAAUUGCAUUCGAUACUGGGAAGCUAGAGUAUGGGAGAGGAUGGUAGAAUUCCAGGUGUAGCGGUGAAAUGCGUAGAGAUCUGGAGGAAUACCGAUGGCGAAGGCAGCCAUCUGGCCUAAUACUGACGCUGAGGUACGAAAGCAUGGGGAGCAAACAGGAUUAGAUACCCCCGUAGUCCCUGUCUCUUAUAC